UUAGAAAAGAAAAAGAAAAAGAAAAAUCUGAGAAGACUUCUUCAGUGCUGAAGGAUAAAGCUAGUCUGACUUCUCUGAAGGUCCAAGAUUCAUCCAUGGACCAAGGAACUGCAAUCAAAAUUCAAACAAAACCUAUUAAAGGGAAAGAAGUGAAGUUGCCAGCUUCCCUAAAGGAAAAAGAACCUGAAACUAAAAAAGAGGAAAAGGUGU